AAUGAACGCUGGCGGCAGGCCUAACACAUGCAAGUCGAACGGAUCCUUCGGAAUUAGUGGCGGAUGGGUGAGUAACGCGUGGGAACAUACCCUUUGGUACGGAAUAGCCUCGGGAAACUGGGAGUAAUACCGUAUGUGGUCGAGAGACGAAAGAUUUAUCGCCAAAGGAUUGGCCCGCGUUGGAUUAGGUAGUUGGUGGGGUAAUGGCCUACCAAGCCGACGAUCCAUAGCUGGUUUGAGAGGAUGAUCAGCCACACUGGGACUGAGACACGGCCCAGACUCCUACGGGAGGCAGCAGUGGGGAAUCUUAGACAAUGGGGGAAACCCUGAUCUAGCCAUCCCGCGUGAUCGAUGAAGGCCUUAGGGUUGUAAAGAUCUUUCAGGUGGGAAGAUAAUGACUGUACCACCAGAAGAAGCCCCGGCUAACUCCGUGCCAGCCGCCGCGGUAA
rnacentral:rRNA from 1 species